rnacentral:rRNA from 1 species
GACUUGACGGUACGGUAUGAAUAAGCACCGGCUAACUCCGUGCCAGCAGCCGCGGUAAUACGGAGGAUGCAAGCGUUAUCCGGAUUCACUGGGUUUAAAGGGUGCGUAGGCGGGUAUGUAAGUCAGUGGUGAAAUCCCGGAGCUCAACUACGAAACUGCCAUUGAUACUGUUUAUCUUGAAUCUGCCUCAGGUAAGAGGAAUAUGUCGUGUAGCGGUGAAAUGCUUAGAUAUUACAUGGAAUACCAAUUGCGAAGGCAGGUUACUACUUAUUUAUUGACGCUGAUGGACGAAAGCGUGGGGAGCAAACAGGAUUAGAUACCCUGGUAGUCCACGCCGUAAACGAUGGAUACUAGCUGUUGGGAGCAACCUGAGUGUCUAAGCGAAAGUGAUAAGUAUCCCCCCUGGGGAGUACGUUCGCAAGAGUGAAACUCAAAUGAUUUGACGGAG